rnacentral:lncRNA from 1 species
GCACUUUGCUGCGGAGAGUCUGUUCCGCCAGUCUUCAGGUUACUUUCUGGGUUAUUGACGCUGAUGUGGGUGUUAUCUAGCUGUAUCCUGGGUUGAGGUGACCCCAGGAUCCUCCUACACCAUCUUCCCUGGAAGUCUGCUAUAUCCUUUUUUAUGAACGCCCCUCGAGCAGCAGUGGGGACACCAUGUCUGGCCCCAGCACCCAGCCCUCUAGCCACCGCGGCCAUUCCUGGAACCACCCCAGUCCUGCCCAUGCCAGAUUCUGAGAGUGAGAAGCCCGACUGAGCCCAGGCAGGCCAGCCCGACCCCGACGCCAGGCCCCGUGUCGUCACACAUGGAGAAGGCGAGUCCACGCCUCGUGUCCAGUUCACGCUGUUUUGUAACCACUUUCUAAGCAUUUUUUAUUCACAACUGGAAACACAAACAUAAUGCAAGAAUAAAGAAUAUUUUGGGGGAAAGGGGACUUUGGUU